AGUAUGCAACCUGCCUUAUGCAGGGGGAUAGCCCAUGGAAACGUGGAUUAAUACCCCAUAAUAUCGUUGAAUCGCAUGGUUUAACGAUUAAAAUUUCGAUGGCAUAAGAUGGGCAUGCGUCUGAUUAGCUAGUUGGUGAGGUAACAGCUCACCAAGGCGACGAUCAGUAGGGGUUCUGAGAGGAUUAUCCCCCACACUGGUACUGAGACACGGACCAGACUCCUACGGGAGGCAGCAGUGAGGAAUAUUGGCAUCUAAUGGGUCGCGAGCCUGAACCAGCCAUCCCGCGUGCAGGAUGACGGCCCUAUGGGUUGUAAACUGCUUUUCUACGCCAAGAACGGCCCCUACGUGUAGGAGAUUGACGGUAGCGUAGGAAUAAGCAUCGGCUAACUCCGUGCCAGCAGCCGCGGUAAUACGGAGGAUGCAAGCGUUAUCCGGAUUCAUUGGGUUUAAAGGGUGCGCAGGCGGGAAAGUAAGUCAGUGGUGAAAAACUGCCGCUCAACGGUAGUCGUGCCAUUGAUACUGCUUUUCUUGAGUUUGGAUGAGGUAGGCGGAAUGUGCAGUGUAGCGGUGAAAUGCAUAGAUAUUGCACAGAACACCAAUUGCGAAGGCAGCUUACUAAUCCACGACUGACGCUGAGGCACGAAAGCGUGGGGAGCGAACAGGAUUAGAUACCCUGGUAGUCCACGCCGUAAACGAUGUUCACUCGCUGUUUGCGAUACACAGUAAGCGGCUUAGCGAAAGCAUUAAGUGAACCACCUGGGGAGUACGAUCGCAAGGUUGAAACUCAAAGGAAUUGACGGGGGCCCGCACAAGCGGAGGAACAUGUGGUUUAAUUCGAUGAUACGCGAGGAACCUUACCUGGGCUUAAAUGUAGAGUGCAUGCGGUGGAAACACCCUUCCCUUCGGGGCUCUCUGCAAGGUGCUGCAUGGUUGUCGUCAGCUCGUGCCGUGAGGUGUCGGGUUAAGUCCCAUAACGAGCGCAACCCUUACCGUUAGUUGCCAACAGGUUAAGCUGGGGACUCUAGCGGGACUGCCACCGUAAGGUGAGAGGAAGGUGGGGAUGACGUCAAAUCAGCACGGCCCUUAUGUCCAGGGCUACACACGUUGUUACAAUGGCCGGUACAGAGGGCAGCUACCUCCGCGAGGAGAAUGCUAAUCUUGAAAGCCGGUCUCAGUUCGGAUUGGAGUCUGCAACCCGACUCCAUGAAGUUGGAUUCGCUAGUAAUCGUAUAUCAGCAAUGAUACGGUGAAUACGUUCCCGGGCCUUGUACACACCGCCCGUCCAAACCAUGGGAGCUGGGGGUGCCUGAACGUCUGUGACCGCAAGGAGCGGCCGUAAGGUA
rnacentral:rRNA from 1 species